rnacentral:rRNA from 1 species
AUGGUGGAGGGAUCCGCGUCCGACAUCGUCAAUCUGAAGUUCCUCCUCCUUUGUUUCCAACAGAUGUCUGGGCUCACCAUUAACUUCGAUAAGAGCGAAGUGAUGGUCCUUGGCUAUCCUCCGGAGGAGGCUCAAUUCAUUGCAGACCAGCUGAAGUGCCGCCUGGGUUCCUUCCCCACAACCUACUUGGGGAUACCCAUUAGUGACUCCAGGCUCACCGUUGCUGACCUCCGCCCGACUGUGACUAGGAUGCAGCACUGGGUUGAACCCUGGAGGGGGAGGUGGCUGUCGAAGGCAGCUAGGGUAAUCCUCAUCAACUCCUCGCUGGCUAGCCUACUCUGGUUUCUCAUGAGCUUCUACGGCCUCCAUGAGACCCUCCAUCAGGAGGUUGCCAAAUACCAGUCUAGGUUUUGGGCUGGCGAGGGCGACAAGCAGAAAUAUCAUAUGGUGAGCUGGCCAAACAUCUGCAAACCCAAAGACCAGGGUGGCCUUGGGAUCUUGUCUUCUCGUCGCAUGAACAUUGCUCUCCUGGCCCGUUGGCUUUGGCGCAUCACCAAUGGGGAGGGAGGCCUCUGGCUUACCAUCAUCCGCAAUAAGUACCUUAGGGGCCAACCUCUUGCCUUCUGCCAGCGUUCGGGUGGCUCCCAGUCCUGGCAGUCGGUGAUCCAGCUUAUGCCCGUGCUCCGCAUUGGCACAUCCAUCUUGGUUGGCUCCGGGUCCUCGACCCUAUUCUGGUUCGACCAUUGGUUAGGGGACUCCCCCCUGGCCGCGCGAUUCCCAAAACUAUUCGCCAUCGCGGUUGACCCUCGGGUCUCGGUCGAGACGGCCCUUAUUGACUUAGGGCGUCUUGCUUUUCGGCGCCCCUCGAGGUGGCUGCUUGGGAUUCCCUCCUCCAGGACAUCGCCCUUAUGCCGAUGGACAUCGAGGAGACCACAGACUCCCUCUCCUGGCGCCUUGAGCCAUCUGGCCGCUUCUCCACGAAGUCCUUGUAUGCCGCCAUCGCCCCCUCGGCGGCCCCGGAGCCCUUUAGCCUGCUCUGGUACAUACGCCUUCCUCUGA